AUUGAACGCUGGCGGCAUGCUUUACACAUGCAAGUCGAACGGCAGCGCGGGCUUCGGCCUUGCCGCGAGUGGCCAACGGGUGAGUAAUUCAUCCGAACGUGCCCAGUAGAGGGGGAUAGGCCGGCGAAGGCCGAAUUAAUACCGCAUCCGACCUGAGGUUGAAAGGGGGGGACCAAAAGUCCUCGCGCGUUUUGAGGGCCCGAUGUCGGAUUAGCUAGUUGGUUUGGUAAAGGCUUACCAAGGCGACGAUCCGUAGCUGGUCUGAGAGGACGACCAGCCACACUGGGACUGAGACACGGCCCAGACUCCUACGGGAGGCAGCAGUGGGGAAUUUUGGACAAUGGGGGCAACCCUGAUCCAGCCAUGCCGCGUGCGGGAAGAAGGCCUUCGGGUUGUAAAACGCUUUUGUUCGGGAAGAAAACCUCUGGGCUAAUACCCCGGGGGGAUGACGGUACCGGAAGAAUAAGCACCGGCUAACUACGUG
rnacentral:rRNA from 1 species